GACGAACGCUGGCGGCAUGCUUAACACAUGCAAGUCGAACGGAAAGGCCCUGCGGGGUACUCGAGUGGCGAAUGGGUGAGUAACACGUGGGUGAUCGGCCCUGCACUUUGGGAUAAAUCUGGGCAACUAGGGCUAAUACCGUACAGGACCACGGCAUUCAUGUGCUGUGGUGGAAAGCGUUUGCGGUGUGGGUUGGGCCCGCGGCCGAUCAGCUUGGUGGUGGGGUAAUGGCGUACCAAGGCGACGACGGGUAGCCGGCCUGAGGGGGUGACCGGCCCAGCUGCGCCUGGGCUGCGGCCCAGACUCCUCCGGUAGGCAGCGGUGCGGAAUAUUGCACAAUGGGCUCAAGCCUGAUGCAGCGCCGCCGCGUGAGGGAUGACGGCCUUCCGGCUGUAAUCCUCUUCCGCCAGGGCCGAAGCGCUAGUGACGGUACCUGGAGAAGAAGGUCCGGCCAACUACGUG
rnacentral:rRNA from 1 species